rnacentral:lncRNA from 1 species
AGCCCUAUUCUCCUCCGCUGUUCGACGCCUCGCUGUUUUCGAUCCUUAAAAUUCUUGUUCAAGCUCCGAUUGCGAGAAGCGAACAGAGAUUCAAUCGGCACCACCCUAAAGAUAAAUCCCUCACCUCUUCUUUAUUUCUCUUUUACAAACAACAAGUAUAACAAACAAAUAUUGAAGAAACAGAAAAGAAAAAAGAAAUCGAAAAAAAAAAGAGAUUUCAAAUCACUUUUCAAAACUUUAAUGGCUUUUUUUCUCUGGUAUUUUUUUACUGAUUUCGUAUUGUCUCCGUGUAAAAAAAUUACAAAGGUCUUUCCUUUUGUUUUAUAGCCAAAAUAUCCGAAAUAAAUAAAAAAAUACAAUAUAUGUUUUUUCUGUGCUGUUUUUUCGUCCUAUUUGCAGGUACGGAGGCCAGCUGGCGGUGUACGGAGGCGGUGGCACAGCACGUGCUUGGCUGAGGCGACUGGAGGUGUGCAACGGGUGGGUCUGCUGUAUAGUUUUAGGGUUUCUGUUUGGGGUUUGUCAUUGGGUUUUGUUAUUGGGCUUGGGAUUGUGUCUGGGUAGUUCAAGUUAAAAACGAUUUAGGCCAUGUUGGGCCUAUAUAUUUGGACUGUGGACUAUUUAAAUUUGGUUUUAAUAUUUGGUUUGGGCCCCGGGUAAAAUGAAUUAUUACAAUUAAAAUUAUUUUAAAAAAAUAUAAAAUUAUUAAGUGCAUAUAAUUUCCAAUUUCCACCGUUUCUUCUUCCCCACAGUUUCUUUCCAUCGUUCACCAUCAUCGUCGUCGUCUCCAAUUUUCUUCCCCAUUGUUUCUUCCUUCCACAGUUUCUUCUUCCUCAUUGUUUUUUUUUUGAAAACCUCAAAUUCCA